GAUGAACGCUGGCGGCGUGCCUAAUACAUGCAAGUCGAACGCACAGCGAAAGGUGCUUGCACCUUUCAAGUGAGUGGCGAACGGGUGAGUAACACGUGGACAACCUGCCUCAAGGCUGGGGAUAACAUUUGGAAACAGAUGCUAAUACCGAAUAAAACUCAGUGUCGCAUGACACAAAGUUAAAAGGCGCUUUGGAGUCACCUUGAGAUGGAUCCGCGGUGCAUUAGUUAGUUGGUGGGGUAAAGGCCUACCAAGACAAUGAUGCAUAGCCGAGUUGAGAGACUGAUCGGCCACAUUGGGACUGAGACACGGCCCAAACUCCUACGGGAGGCUGCAGUAGGGAAUCUUCCACAAUGGGCGAAAGCCUGAUGGAGCAACGCCGCGUGUGUGAUGAAGGCUUUCGGGUCGUAAAGCACUGUUGUAUGGGAAGAACAGCUAGAAUAGGGAAUGAUUUUAGUCUGACGGUACCAUACCAGAAAGGGACGGCUAAAUACGUGCCAGCAGCCGCGGUAA
rnacentral:rRNA from 1 species